GACGGAGGGUGCAAGCGUUGCUCGGAAUCACUGGGCGUAAAGGGUGCGUAGGCGGUCUCGCAAGUCUGGCGUGAAAGCCCAAGGCUCAGCCUUGGAAGUGCGCUCGAAACGGCGAGUCUGGAGUGCCGGAGGGGAGAGUGGAAUUCCCGGUGUAGCGGUGAAAUGCGUAGAGAUCGGGAGGAAUACCGGUGGCGAAAGCGACUCUCUGGACGGCAACUGACGCUGAGGCACGAAAGCGUGGGGAGCAAACAGG
rnacentral:rRNA from 1 species